rnacentral:rRNA from 1 species
GAUGAACGCUGGCGGCGUGCCUAAUACAUGCAAGUCGAGCGAACAGACGAGGAGCUUGCUCCUCUGACGGUAGCGGCGGACGGGUGAGUAACACGUGGAUAACCUACCUAUAAGACUGGGAUAACUUCGGGAAACCGGAGCUAAUACCGGAUAAUAUAUUGAACCGCAUGGUUCAAUAGUGAAAGACGGUUUUGCUGUCACUUAUAGAUGGAUCCGCGCCGCAUUAGCUAGUUGGUAAGGGAACGGCUUACCAAGGCGACGAUGCGUAGCCGACCUGAGAGGGUGAUCGGCCACAUCGGAACUGAGACACGGCCCAGACUCCUACGGGAGGCAGCAGUAGGGAAUCUUCCGCAAUGGGCGAAAGCCUGACGGAGCAACGCCGCGUGAGUGAUGAAGGUCUUCGGAUCGUAAAACUCUGUUAUUAGGGAAGAACAAAUGUGUAAGUAACUAUGCACGUCUUGACGGUACCUAAUCAGAAAGCCACGGCUAACUACGUG